GGUGUGUGUUGGGUCUAAACCUGGUCUGACUUAACUCUAAUUUUGGGAUGGCGUCUAUAUGGAUUAGAUGCUGAGUUGACGGUUUUUCAUCUACUUUAGGUCUACCAAAAAUUUCUCCUCCUCAGCGUUAUUUCGGAGCUCUCCCUUGGAUUACGGCUCCAGGGCCAAGUGGAUAUCAGGUAAACUCCAGCUGGGAGAG
rnacentral:lncRNA from 1 species